AUUGAACGCUGGCGGCAUGCCUUACACAUGCAAGUCGAACGGCAGCACGGGGGCAACCCUGGUGGCGAGUGGCGAACGGGUGAGUAAUGCAUCGGAACGUGUCCUCUUGUGGGGGAUAACCAGUCGAAAGAUUGGCUAAUACCGCAUGAGAUCGCAAGAUGAAAGCGGGGGACCGCAAGGCCUCGCGCGAGAGGAGCGGCCGAUGCCGGAUUAGCUAGUUGGUGGGGUAAAAGCCUACCAAGGCGACAAUCCGUAGCUGGUCUGAGAGGACGACCAGCCACACUGGGACGGAGACACGGCCCAGACUCCUACGGGAGGCAGCAGUGGGGAAUUUUGGACAAUGGGCGCAAGCCUGAUCCAGCCAUGCCGCGUGUGUGAAGAAGGCCUUCGGGUUGUAAAGCACUUUCGGACGGAACGAAAUCGCAUGGGCUAAUACCCUGUGCGGAUGACGGUACCGGCAUAAGAAGCACCGGCUAACUACGUGCCAGCAGCCGCCGUAAGAC
rnacentral:rRNA from 1 species